GUCACGCGUGGGGCACCUGCUGGGUCCUCCCAGUGUCUGGAGAAGGGACCCUCCAGAGGAUCUGUUCUGGGUGACCCGGGAGCCUUACAGUGGAGGAGAGAACAAGGGAGGGGGCUCCAACCACUGCAGCCCGACGCUCAUCUCAGACACAGCGCUGUGUCUGUGGACAGGGAGCAUGUCUCCUCCAUCGGGCAGGGGCUCCCUGAGAACAGGGAUGAUUUCUCCCAUCAGACUGGAAACUCCCUCAAGGGCAGAUGCGGAAGUCCUGGAGUAAAGGCCCCAUGUCCUCCAAGGACAGGAGAGAGGAAGCAGGCUUUACCCAUGGCCCAGGCAGUGCCUCGCUCCACCAGCCAACUCGAAAGCCCUUUCCACGGACCAAUUGUGGGGCCAAGCACUUUGCAUGCAUUUCACUCAACCUUCUAAUGACUGUUGUUACACCAUUUAGAGAGGAAACCGGAG
rnacentral:lncRNA from 1 species